rnacentral:rRNA from 1 species
GUGGGGAAUAUUGGACAAUGGGCGAAAGCCUGAUCCAGCAAUGCCGCGUGAGUGAUGAAGGCCUUAGGGUUGUAAAGCUCUUUUACCAGGGAUGAUAAUGACAGUACCUGGAGAAUAAGCUCCGGCUAACUCCGUGCCAGCAGCCGCGGUAAUACGGAGGGAGCUAGCGUUGUUCGGAAUUACUGGGCGUAAAGCGCACGUAGGCGGUUACUCAAGUCAGAGGUGAAAGCCCGGGGCUCAACCCCGGAACUGCCUUUGAAACUAGGUAACUGGAAUCUUGGAGAGGUCAGUGGAAUUCCGAGUGUAGAGGUGAAAUUCGUAGAUAUUCGGAAGAACACCAGUGGCGAAGGCGACUGACUGGACAAGUAUUGACGCUGAGGUGCGAAAGCGUGGGGAGCAAACAGGAUUAGAAACCCUAGUAGUCC